UCGGGAAUAUUGCGCAAUGGAGGAAACUCUGACGCAGUGACGCCGCGUAUAGGAAGAAGGUUUUCGGAUUGUAAACUAUUGUCGAUAGGGAAGAAAAAAGACAGUACCUAUCAAGAAAGCUCCGGCUAACUACGUGCCAGCAGCCGCGGUAAUACGUAGGGAGCAAGCGUUAUCCGGAAUUAUUGGGUGUAAAGGGUGCGUAGACGGGAUGUCAAGUUAGUUGUGAAAUACCUCGGCUCAACUGGGGAACUGCAACUAAAACUAACAUUCUUGAGUGCAGGAGAGGAAAGUGGAAUUCCUAGUGUAGCGGUGAAAUGCGUAGAUAUUAGGAAGAACAUCGGUGGCGAAGGCGACUUUCUGGACUGUAACUGACGUUGAGGCACGAAAGUGUGGGGAGCAAACAGG
rnacentral:rRNA from 1 species